GAGAUGACACUUUGAUGAAAAAACGGCAUCUCGGUCAAAAUCGGGACCUUAGUAAAUAUACCCCAAUGUCUCGCUUUUGUCUCACCAGCCAUGGACGUCGGGACAAAUCUGGAGUCAGCCGGUGCAUCCACCAGUCGUCCGGCGGUUGCAGGGACCGAUGGAGGACCCUCUCGUGCAGAUCACAAUGACAACAAGGUCGCCAACACGGAGGCCCCUCGCCUCCACCAUCCCCCUCCCAAAACCCCUCCCCCUCUCCACCUCAAGCCCCUCCCAAAACCCCUCCCUAUCUCCACCUCAACCCCCAUCCCCCUCCCAAAACCCCUCCUCCUCUCUACCUCAACUCCCUCCCAAGCUCCAUCCCCCUUCCAAAACCCCUCACCCUCCAGCCCUCCAACAAAGAAUGAGGAAGAGGCAGAAGAGGCUGGAGUGAAUGGGGAAAGCUGUGAAGUUGGAGAUCAAAAGGCUCAAAUUCUCCAAGCCCUCCAAUCAAUGGAGGGCCAUACCAGGGCCCUGCCGGGCAACAUUGUUCAUUUAAAAAAAAUAUUCCAAUAAUGUGUUUUUUUUCCACAAAAAUGUUGUUUAACUAAAGUUUUAUAACAAACAAAAUAAGUAAAAAAUUAAAUAUA